rnacentral:rRNA from 1 species
UACGUAGGGUCCGAGCGUUGUCCGGAAUUACUGGGCGUAAAGAGCUCGUAGGUGGUUUGUCGCGUUGUUCGUGAAAACUCACAGCUCAACUGUGGGCGUGCGGGCGAUACGGGCAGACUAGAGUACUGCAGGGGAGACUGGAAUUCCUGGUGUAGCGGUGGAAUGCGCAGAUAUCAGGAGGAACACCGGUGGCGAAGGCGGGUCUCUGGGGAGUAACUGACGCUGAGGAGCGAAAGCGUGGGGAGCGAACAGG